UACGUAGGUGGCAAGCGUUGUUCGGAAUUAUUGGGCGUAAAGGGCGCGUAGGCGGACAGUUUAGUCAGAGGUGAAAGCCCAGGGCUCAACCUUGGAAUUGCCUUUGAUACUGGCUGUCUUGAGUUCGGGAGAGGUGAGUGGAAUGCCGAGUGUAGAGGUGAAAUUCGUAGAUAUUCGGCGGAACACCAGUGGCGAAGGCGACUCACUGGCCCGAUACUGACGCUGAGGCGCGAAAGCGUGGGGAGCAAACAGG
rnacentral:rRNA from 1 species